GCACCUACCGAUUGAAUGGUCCGGUGAACACUUUGGAUUUUAGGCGAAGGAACUGUAAAAGGGGAAUUCGUCUGGGAGAAGUCGUGUAAAUCUUAUCAUUUAG
rnacentral:rRNA from 1 species